CUUAACUUUCCUUUUGAUCUGGGAGGGCCCUUAACUUUCCCUUUUGAAGCUCCCAGCCUCAAGUCAAGCACACAGACACGGUGAGUGAGAGAGGAGUCCAUGAUGAAUUCCAGAUAGAUGAUGAGGAAGAAUGUGGGUGUGCAUUAGGAGGAAGUUGGAUCAGAGUGGAGUAGUGGAACUUGGACCAGGCAUGCUGAUGUGAGAUGUGGGCAUUCCAAGUAGCAAAGUGGCGACUCUUCUGCUGUACCAGACACCCACCCCUUCAUGAACUUUUUGAAAUGCCCUAGUACGUUAUGUCAUUCAAUCUUCACAAGGACCUUGGGAGGAGCUUGCAAUCUAAUGAAGAAUUGAGAUGUCAGAAAAUGGUACAAAGUAAACAAAAGAAAAGAGUGUAGAGGAAAAAGGGAUAAGAUACCAAAAGAAGGUGACAGGAAAUCUAUUUGUUGUUUAGAUCAAGAAGUCUUGUGCUUGGACGAAUGAUGAUUUGCCCUUUCAGUCUAUGAAGAGGAGCCAGAUAAACUGCUGAAAUAGAUGAGGAUGUUACAUGAGCCCAUGAACUGAAUCCGCACUCUCCAGGAGUGAAUAAUGAGAUAGUUAAAGUUUCAUGUUACUACAGGUCUUUGUUGUGCUAUGGUAUGCAGAUUUUCUCACAAAACAGUAUAGGCCAAAUCCAAGAGACACAAGGAUAAUGUAUAAAAAGGAGGAGUUAUUUUAUUAAAGCUUAAUAGCAUCAUUCAGCUACAGAAGGAAUGUGAGCAUUUAAAAAGUUUAAAGACGGGGCCGGCGCCGCGGCUCACUAGGCUAAUCCUCCACCUUGCGGCACCGGCACACCGGGUUCUAGUCCCGGUCGGGGCGCCGGAUUCUGUCCCGGUUGCCCCUCUUCCAGGCCAGCUCUCUGCUGUGGCCCGGGAGUGCAGUGGAGGAUGGCCCAAGUGCUUGGGCCCUGCACCCCAUGGGAGACCAGGAAAAGCACCUGGCUCCUGCCUUUGGAUCAGCGCGGUACGCCGGCCGCAGCAGCCAUUGGAGGGUGAACCAACCGCAAAGGAAGACCUUUCUCUCUCUCUCUCUCUCUCACACUAUCCACUCUGCCUGUCAAAAAAAAAAAAAAAAGUUAAAGACGGUGUAGGCACUUGGUCUACAGUUAAUAUAUCCACAUCCCAUAUGAAAGUGCGCGGGUUCAGUUCCCAGCUCUAGCACUAACUCCAGCUUUGUGCUACUGCAGUCCCUGGGAAGCAGCCAUGGUGAAUCAAGUAAUCAGGUUCCUCUCAUUCACCUGGAUGGUACGGGUCAUGUUUUUGGAUGGCUUUGACCUUGCUUGUCAUGGGCAUCUGAAGAAUGAACCAGCAGAUGGAAGCCAUUUGUCUCUCUCUUUCUCUCUGCCUUUCAAAUUAAUCAAUUACUUACAUUUAAUAAAAGCAUACAGAGAAUGAGCAAGAUAAGUUGGUAUGGAUACCAAGAAAAUAAGAAUGGGACAUAAAGAACAGUAUAACAUCACUGAAGAUAUGACGUAUAGAAAAGGCAUACAUUAUGAAAGGGAAGAAAAUGUAACAGCUGCAGAUUAAGCUUCAUAUUCCACCUCUCCAAGAUAAAACAAAUCAUGCUAAAGAAACGUGAUUUGGGGCUGGCACAGUAGAUUAAUCCUCCGUCUGUGGCGCUGGCAUCCCAUACGGGCGCUGGUUCUAGUCCCAGCCCCUCCUCUUCCAAUCCAGCUCUCUGCUGUGGCCUGGGAGAGCAGUAGAAGAUGGUCUAAGUGCUUGGGUCCCUGCACCUGCAUGGGAGACCGGGAAGAAGCACCUGGCUCUUGGCUUUGGAUCAGUGCCAUCUCCAGCCAUUGCGGCCAUUGGGGGAUGAACCAGCGGAAGGAAGACCUUUCUGUCUCUCCCUCUCACUGUCUGUAACUCUACCUCUCAAAUAAAUAUAUAAAAAUCUUUUUUUAAAAAAUAGUUGAUUUGUAAAUAUAGAAGAGAUAUCUUUCCAGAGAGUUAGAUGAAGGUUAUCAGCUUUUCACCAAGAUGGCACUGAAGGCAAAGAAGGAAGCUCCUGCCCCUACCAAAGCUCAAGCCGAGGCAAAGGCUUUAAAGACCAGGAAGGCAGUGCUGAAGGGCAUCCACUGCCACAAAAAAUAAAAAUAAAGAAAUCUGCAUAUCAUCCACAUUCUAGCCAUCCAAAAUGCUACACUUCGGCAGCCCAAAUCUCCUUAGCAGAGUACCCCCAGGAGAAACAAGCUUGACCACUAUGCCAUCAUCAAGUUCCUCCUGACCACUGAGUCAGUCAUGAAAAAGAUAGAAGACAACAACACACUCAUGCUCAUUGUGGAUGUCAAGGUCAACAAGCACCGGUUCAAACAGGCUGUGAAGAAAUGUGACCUUGAUGUGGCCAAAGUCAACACCCUGAUCAGGCCUGACAGAGAGAAGGCGGCCUAAGUUCUACUGGCUCCUGAUUAGGAUUCUUUGAAUGCCCUGCUGGCUAAUUCUAAGUGUAUGUUUUUUUCACCAUAAAAAAAGAUUAUUGGGAGCCGGCAUUGUGGCACAGGGGGUAAAGCUGCCUCCUGCAGUGCCAGCAUCCCAUAUGGGUGUUGGUUUGAUUCCCAGCUGCUUCUCUACCAAUCUAGUUUCCUGCUAAUGAACCUGGGAACACGGCGGAAGAUGGCCCAAGUGCUUGGGCCCCUGCACCCACAUGGGAGACCCGGAAGAAGCUGCUAGUUCCUGGCUUUGGACCAGACCAGCUCUGGCCAUUGCGGCCAUUUGGGGAGUAAACCAGUAGAUGGAAUAUCUCUCUAUCUCUCCCUCUACCUCUAACUCUAACUUCACCUUUCAAAUAAAUAAAAUAAAUCUUAAAAAAGAAAAAUUAUCAAAUAAAUGUUAACAUUUGAAGGCCUAAAAAUUAUAACAUGUAAUUAUCAUAGAAUUCUUAAAGGAAUAUAUAUAUACACGGCCGGUGCUGUGGCAUAGCCAGUGGGGCUGCUGCCUGCAGUGCCAGCAUCCCAUGUGGGUGCCAAUCAAGUUCCAGCUGUUCUACUUCUGGUCCAGCUCUCUGCUGUAGCCUGGGAAAGCAGUGGAAGAUGGCCCAAGUCCUUGGGCCCCUGCACCCACAUGAGAGGCCCAGGGGAAGCUCCUGGCUCCUGGCGUCAGAUCUGCACAGUUCCAGCUGUUGUGGCCACUUGAGGAAUGAACCAGAGGAUGGAAGACUCUCUCUCUCUCUCUUUGCCUCUGCCUCUCUGUAAUUCUGCCUUUCAAAUAAAUAAAUAAAUCUUUAAUAUAUAUAUAUAUAUAAUAAAUAUAAAAUAAUGAACCUGAAUAUUGAAAUAGUCUUUAAGAGCCUACAGGAAAUAAAAGAAUAAACACAACUAGUUUAUAUUAAUAUAAUGCAAGCUAUAAGUAUCUUAAAAUGUUUUGUUUAACAAAUAAUGAUUCUGUAAUGAAGAUGUUCAGAAUAUGGAAGCAACUACCAUUGCGUGGGUUGUGAAUAAGUGUUUUGCAGUGACUAAUCAAAAUUAAGGGAAAGAAGUGAAUCAUAGUUCUAAAGAAAGAGCUUACAGGUCUUAUUUACAGAAAGAAAGAAAGAUGAACAAAUCACCAUCAUGAAAAUAGACUCAGAAAGCAAAAAUAUGAAGAACUGUAGAUAUGUAAGAAGUCAGGAGAACUGGGCAUAUAUGAGCAUAAAAACUGAAUUUAUGAUCAAUGGAAUUUUUCUGUUUUCAUGAUGGAUGGACAGUUAUAAAUAGAUGUAAAAUAUAAGUAUAUUUGAAAUAAAACAUACGAAAACCAAAUGAGUUAAUGGAGAUGAAAUUGCUUUAAAACGUAUUGGCCUGUGCUCACUUCGGCAUUACAUAUAUUAAAAAAGUAUUGGCCGUUAGACAAAGAAAAGGCUUUACUUAACUGAAGCAUAGCAGUCAUGGGCUUUCUCAAGCCCAGAGAGGAAACAAGCAUUUAACUGGCUCUGCUCAGUUCCCAUAAAACAUAGCAGUCAGUGGGGGCUUCUCAAUGAUGAUAACCUUCUCAAACUUCAGUGCUGUCUGGAAAAAAAAGAACCUCUUUGUUGUACAAAAUCUUCAAUUGGUAUUUUCUUUUUUAAAAUUUUUUUUAAAAGUGUAUUUAUUUGAGAGGUAGAGUCCAGACAAAUAGAGGGAGAGACAAAGGUCUUCCAUCUACUGGUUCACUCUCCAAAUGUCCGCAAUGGCCAUAGCUGGGCCUGUCUGAAACCAGUGACCAUAAGUUUCCUCCAGGUCUCCCACAUGGGUGCAGAAACCCAAGCACUUGGGCCAUCUUCCACUGAUUUCCCAAGCCAUAAGCUGGAGCUGGAUCAGAAGAGGAGCACACGGGACAUGAAUCUACCCAUAUGGGAUGCCGGUGAUGCAG